UGCUCACUUCGGCAAUAUCCUAACCCUGAAAUAACAUAGAGAAGAUUAACAUGGCUCCUGUGCAAAGAUGACAUGCAAAUUCGUGAAGCAUCCCAUAUGUUU